UACGUAGGGUGCGAGCGUUAAUCGGAAUUACUGGGCGUAAAGCGUGCGCAGGCGGUUCGUUGUGUCGGCGGUGAAAGCCCCGGGCUUAACCUGGGAAUGGCCGUUGAAACUGGCGAACUGGAGUGUGGCAGAGGGGGGGUGGAAUUCCGCGUGUAGCAGGUGAAAUGCGUAGAGAUGGUGGAGGAAUACCGAUGCGAGGCAGCCUCCUGGGCCAACACUGACG
rnacentral:rRNA from 1 species